AUGAAAUCAGCCGCCGGCGCCGCAGAUUGUGGGGGCAUAGCAAUAUCAUCAUCCAAUCCUCACAAGAGGACGAGGAGGGGGCACAAGGGUGUUCUGCAGCUUCACCAUCUGCCUCUUGAUACUUUAAGUGACAUUGUGUCAUUGUUAAGCUUCAAAGAGGCUGCGCGCAUGAGCGUACUGUCGAGCCAGUGGAGACAUCUCUGGAGAUCAUGUAUCAGAGACCUGGUCUUCACUAGGGAGACAAUGUGCUGCCCCAUGCCCAUGAGCCGAGAGGAACAAGAUCGAGAAGCUUUCAUCAGGAAUGUUGAGUGCGUAUUGUGCCAACUCGAUCCCACCAUUGCUAGGGACAAAUUCGUGCUCGAGUUCAAGCUCAUCAAUACAAAUGUGCAGACCCAUGUUGACAGAUGGGUCGCCUUUUGUGCAACAUCAAGAGUGAAGCACAUUGUCUUCGAUUUCAAACCAGGGUCAUGGGGCAAACACGACAAUUCGUUCAACUUCCCAAUACACCUUUUCAUCAAUGGCGCUCCUGCUGUCAGAUCUUUGUGCCUCAUGUCUGCCUACCUAAACCCAGUACCUGGUUUUUCUAGCUUCACAAACCUUAGAAAGCUCAUGCUCGACUCGGUGUCUGGAGAUAUCCAGUGCAUGUUGUUGCCAGCGUGCUCCAUGCUUGAGUGGCUUAGCAUCGUGCGUUGCACCCUCCACAGCUUGACUACUUCCCAACCGUUGCGCCAGUUGCGAUACCUGUGUGUGCACUACUGCUUCAAUGUGCAGAAGCUUGAGGUGCAAGCUCCGAACCUUAAUACCUUCAUAUUUGGCAGCUUGGAGACCCACCCAGUGUCAUUUAUCAUUGAUGGAUGUCUAGAGAUACAGGAGGUGACUAUCAAGUUGCCAACAUGGAGGAGUGACCUUUUUGACUACGCCUUCGCGGAUCAUGGUAUGGCGAAUGUGCCCAAGCUCUCUGUGGAACUUGCAAUUGAUUCCAAGGUGCCUGGAUGUGCAAAAUGCCCUAGUAAGUUUGUCAACCUGAAGCAUCUUAUAUUGACCGUCGAUGUACUUGCAAAUGAUAAGUAUACAAGUGGCAUUCUUCGUUUGGCUUGUCUUUUGGAAUUAAGCCCAGUUUUGAAUCGUCUUGAACUGCAUCCCGGCCCGUGA
rnacentral:rRNA from 1 species